CCCCUGCGCUGCAGCCGCAGCCACAGCCACAGCCAACCCGGAAGCGCGGCGCCAAGAGCCGCUUGCGCGCGGACGCCGGACCACGUGGCCCGCAGAGGCGCCCCUGGAGAAAUGGCCAGACUGCCUCCCACUCAGAGGACCCUUGGCCACCUGACAAGGAAUUCCAGAGACCACAGCAGUCAGUGCUGGGAAGAUUCCAGAGCCCAGAGGAAGGAGCAAUCUUUUGAAAAUCUCCUUGGAAGGCACACUCAAUUCAAAGAUGACCAUGGGAAUGAUUGACCUGGCUUCCAAGAGGUUCAUUUGAUGUUUAGUUACAGGAUAUCCAUCGAUGACAACACUAACAAGGAAAAACAUGAAAAUUAAAAUUCCACAUUUCUUUUUCUCUCGUACUUCCUUUCUGUCUUCUGGAACCAGUCUGUCUCUUUAGGAGUAGCCCCAUGCUUUUCCUUAUGUAACUCAAUUUAUUUUCUUCACACUUUGCCCUCUUCAUCUCUGCAUCUUUAAUCUCAGUCAGGCCAAGAGCCAUGAGGUGGGCAGGACACAUCCAAACAGAGUUCAGAAGGUGGGCGUAGGAAAGAGCUCUGAAUUUCUACACUCAGCAUGCUGGAGAUAGAUUUUGGCAGAAUUUGAGAGAUAACUCCCACAGUACCUUGAACAUUGUGUUCAAUUGUGCUAUUAAUCGAAACAUGAAAGAGUAUAGCUUUACAGACAGAUAACUUUAGAUUUAAAAUCUGGUUUGAACUUUCUGAGAGGAAAUGAUAUUUAACUCUUAGAGUUGUUUUAAAGAUUGGAGACCAGGUAUGUAAAGCAACUAGAGUAGGACCUGGUACAUAUUAGAUGCCCAAGAAGUAGUAUUUUAGUAAGAGACUAAGCCAAUAUGGAAAAAAAAAAGUGUGCUCUAAGCUUGCUUUUUGCAGUAAAUGCUCUGUGAGAAGCCUGGGAGUGCAGCUGGGGGAGAGUUGGUGAGAGUGGCCCUAUAAUAUUUGGGUGGGAAUCAUUCCAUCAGGACCCAUGAUGCAUGCCUCUGAGCAGAAAUGGCUAGGAGAAUUUAAACUAGUUCGAUAAAUUGAGAUAAUGAGAUUGUCACUAACAAACUGAGAGGAGGGGGAAAAAAGGCUGGUUAUAGUAUCUAGCCCCCAAGGUCAGGAAACUCCCUGUGAGGUGGGAGCAAGCUGGGCAUGCUGGCUUCAGGUGGUCAUCAGGGAGCUUGGUUUGGCCUAAGCCACAGGAUGCCCUGCCUCAGUGCUUUCCAGCUGUUAAAGCAAACUAAAUAUGGCCACACUUCUGUAUUUGAGUUAUUGUGGAUGAACUGUGACCUAGCUGAAUAGUCAGACAAGAUUGAAAACCUAACUUAGGAGUAUGUGCCUAUAACAAUAACUGAGUCCUGGGCAAUCCUAGUGGCCAUACUUCAACCACUCAUAGAUUGCUAAGUGUUUAAACUGUGUUCAAAUAAGGCAAACACCAACCUGUAACCAAUCCAGCUGUUUCUGUAUCUCACUGCCAAUUUCGGUACAUCAUUUCCAUUUUUUGUCUGUAAAUCUUCUUCUACCAUGUGGCUGCGCUGGAGUCUCUAUGAAUCUGCUGUGAUUCUGGGGGCUGCCCAAUUUGUGAAUUGUUCAUUGCUUAA